rnacentral:rRNA from 1 species
AAUCACUAAUGACCCCUUCCCUAAGGUGAACCUGCGGAAGGAUCAUUAGUGAUU